rnacentral:rRNA from 1 species
AUGGGAAAUGCCCUACCUUUGAAAUCUACUUCAACCGAUGUGCCUUUAGGCAUGACCAUGCAUAACAUAGAAAUCACACGUGGAAGGGGUGGGCAAUUAGCUAGAGCAGCAGGUGCUGUAGCGAAACUCAUUGCAAAAGAGGGUAAAUCGGCCACUUUAAGAUUACCAUCUGGGGAGGUCCGUUUAGUAUCCCAAAACUGCUUAGCAACAGUCGGACAAGUGGGUAAUGUUGGGGUACCAAAUAAGUUUGGGUAG